AACGAACGCUGGCGGCAGGCUUAACACAUGCAAGUCGAACGCCCCGCAAGGGGAGUGGCAGACGGGUGAGUAACGCGUGGGAAUCUACCCAUCCCUACGGAACAACUCCGGGAAACUGGAGCUAAUACCGUAUACGCCCUUUGGGGGAAAGAUUUAUCGGGGAUGGAUGAGCCCGCGUUGGAUUAGCUAGUUGGUGGGGUAAAGGCCUACCAAGGCGACGAUCCAUAGCUGGUCUGAGAGGAUGAUCAGCCACAUUGGGACUGAGACACGGCCCAAACUCCUACGGGAGGCAGCAGUGGGGAAUAUUGGACAAUGGGCGCAAGCCUGAUCCAGCCAUGCCGCGUGAGUGAUGAAGGCCUUAGGGUUGUAAAGCUCUUUCACCGAUGAAGAUAAUGACGGUAGUCGGAGAAGAAGCCCCGGCUAACUUCGUGCCAGCAGCCGCCGUAAUAC
rnacentral:rRNA from 1 species